GCCCUCGUAAUUCAAUGGACAGAAUAGCUCCGUCCUAAGGAGAAAAUGACUGUUCGAUUCAGUCCGAGGGCA
rnacentral:tRNA from 1 species